UCGAACGCGUCUCCGUUAAUGAUUUUAGGUGCUUGCGCUUGAAAGAUUUAACCUUUAGACGAGUGGCGAACUGGUGAGUAACACGUGGGUAACCUGCCCUUGAAGUAGGGGAUAACACUUGGAAACAGGUGCUAAUACCGUAUAACAACCAAAACCACCUGGUUUUGGUUUAAAAGACGGCUUCGGCUGUCACUUUAGGAUGGACCCGCGGCGUAUUAGCUUGUUGGUAAGGUAACGGCCUACCAAGGCGAUGAUACGUAGCCGACCUGAGAGGGUAAUCGGCCACAUUGGGACUGAGACACGGCCCAAACUCCUACGGGAGGCAGCAGUAGGGAAUCUUCCACAAUGGACGAAAGUCUGAUGGAGCAACGCCGCGUGAGUGAUGAAGGGUUUCGGCUCGUAAAACUCUGUUGUUGGAGAAGAACAGGUGUCAGAGUAACUGUUGACAUCUUGACGGUAUCCAACCAGAAAGCCACGGCUAACUACGUGCCAGCAGCCGCGGUAAUACGUAGGUGGCAAGCGUUGUCCGGAUUUAUUGGGCGUAAAGCGAGCGCAGGCGGUUUUUUAGGUUUGAUGUGAAAGCCUUCGGCUUAACCGGAGAAGUGCAUCGGAAACCGGGAGACUUGAGUGCAGAAGAGGACAGUGGAACUCCAUGUGUAGCGGUGAAAUGCGUAGAUAUAUGGAAGAACACCAGUGGCGAAGGCGGCUGUCUGGUCUGUAACUGACGCUGAGGCUCGAAAGCAUGGGUAGCGAACAGGAUUAGAUACCCUGGUAGUCCAUGCCGUAAACGAUGAGUGCUAAGUGUUGGAGGGUUUCC
rnacentral:rRNA from 1 species